GGCAAAUGGCUUACAGAGUAAUUAGCUGGGGAAGUGGUAUUUUAAAUUAUCUUUAGCAAGCAAAACAAAAAAACCUGUUGCUGAAAAGAGGAAGGAGAGAAAGGAGAAGGACGAGUGCACCCCUGGGACUUUGGACUUGAGCAGUGCCGUCUAUGACUCUGUGAGCGCGAGGCCUGAAAGAUGAAGCUCUGAUGGCAGAUACAACUGUGCCUCCAUGCAAUGUGACAAAGAGAGUGACUGUAAACUGAAGCAUGCAGCACGAAGCCUGGCUUUUAAGGAAGCAGCAGUACUAGUUGGAGAAGAAAGAUCAGAGAGUUUCUGCCAGAGGGGAGAGAAGACGCAUGUUUUGGUUCUUCACUCUGAAGUGAUCCGCCGCCGCAGCGUGUCUGUGCACUCCCCUCUGAGAACAAUGGGAAACACAAAGAAUGGUGAAUGACCCUCGAGGCCCACAACAAACCACAAGUAACAGAGCUGCAGCAGCACUCACUUGUUCUGCAGCAGUUCGUUCUCCUGCCGCAGUUGGCCCAGCUCGGUGCGUAUCGAACGCUCGGCGCUGCCCAGCGAGCCGAUCUGGCUGCGCAGGUCCUGCUCCACCUGCCGGCUGGCCUGCAGGUCCGCCUUCAGCUUCUUGACAUCCUGCUCCAGUCUGUCCCGGGCAGGAGCAUGA